AACGCGAAGAACCUUACCUGGGUUUGACAUCCCCUGACAGCUUUAGAGAUAGAGUUUCCUCUUCGGAGGCAGGGAGACAGGUGCUGCAUGGCUGUCGUCAGCUCGUAUCGUGAGAUGUCGGGUUAAGUCCCUUAACGAGCGCAACCCUUAUCCUUAGUUGCCACCAUUUAGUUGGGCACUCUAGGGAGACCGCCGGUGUUAAACCGGAGGAAGGUGGGGAUGACGUCAAGUCCUCAUGGCCCUUAUGUCCAGGGCUACACACGUGCUACAAUGGCCGAUACAAAGGGUCGCCAACCCGCAAGGGGGAGCUAAUCUCAGAAAAUCGGUCUCAGUUCGGAUUGAAGUCUGCAACUCGACUUCAUGAAGCUGGAAUCGCUAGUAAUCGCGGAUCAGAACGCCGCGGUGAAUACGUUCCCGGGCCUUGUACACACCGCGUGUCU
rnacentral:rRNA from 1 species